GUUUCAGACUGUGAGGAAGCCCAGCAAAACCAAGACCCCAGCUGGCAGGCACAGCGAAGCUUCUAGCUACCAGAAGGGCCAAUGUCCUGCCAUACAAGUGAGUGAUCAUGGAGGAGACUCCUUUAGCCCCAGCGACCCACCUAGCUGAUACUGCCAAGAACAGAGGCCAUCCAGCCCAAUUCCUGCCCAAGUCAUGGACUUUUCACUCUUCCAAUGAGCACAGUCUGCCUGGCCUCAGAGGAAAGCUCUCUUCAACCUCUAAACAAUAGGAAGAACGGCUGCUUCCUUCCCAGCCUCCAGCCCGGCCCAAGGCUCCUCGUCCACCUGCCCUGCUUCCUAUCACCCAGGGCAGCGCCCCCAGCCAUUCAAGCAGGUGUUCAACUUGCCUUCUGAGAAAGACUUGCCUUUGCUCUAGCUCAUGCAGCUAGAGGCUGGUGGGUCUGAGAACAAUUAUCUCUAGCAUUGACCACACACCAGCAGUCUGGGGCCUGAGCUGAUUAAUCAUAUUCCUGAUGAUCAUCUUCCUGAGUUGAAAUCAGAUCAUCAAGGCUCUCAGACCUACCAUGAUUAAGGGAGACACCAGAAGGCAGGAAACCUUGAAGCCAGAGAGGAGUCAGCGCCGGU